GUCCACGCCGUAAACGAUGAGUGCUAGGUGUUGGAUCCUUUCCGGGAUUCAGUGCCGCAGCUAACGCAUUAAGCACUCCGCCUGGGGAGUACGACCGCAAGGUUGAAACUCAAAGGAAUUGACGGGGGCCCGCACAAGCGGUGGAGCAUGUGGUUUAAUUCGAAGCAACGCGAAGAACCUUACCAGGUCUUGACAUCCCGAUGCUAUUUCUAGAGAUAGAAAGUUACUUCGGUACAUCGGUGACAGGUGGUGCAUGGUUGUCGU
rnacentral:rRNA from 1 species